UACGUAGGUGGCAAGCGUUGGCCGGAAUUAUUGGGCGUAAAGAGCUCGUAGGCGGUUUGUCGCGUCGGCUGUGAAAUCUCAGGGCUCAACCCUGAAACUGCACUCGAUACUGCUCUGCUUGAGGACUGGAGAGGAGACUGGAAUUCACGGUGUAGCAGUGAAAUGCGUAGAUAUCGUGAGGAAGACCAGUGGCGAAGGCGGGUCUCUGGACAGUUCCUGACGCUGAGGCGCGAAGGCCAG
rnacentral:rRNA from 1 species